GGCGAACGCUGGCGGCGUGCUUAACACAUGCAAGUCGAGCGAUGAAACACCUUCGGGUGUGAAUUAGCGGCGAACGGGUGAGGAACACGUGAAGAAUCUGCCUUCAACUCUGGGAUAACUCCGGGAAACCGGGGCUAAUACCGGAUAUGAGCCUUGAUCGCAUGAUCGGGGCUGGAAAGUUUUUCGGUUGAAGAUGACUUCGCGGCCUAUCAGCUUGUUGGUGAGGUAAUGGCUCACCAAGGCGACGACGGGUAGCCGGCCUGAGAGGGCGACCGGCCACACUGGGACUGAGACACGGCCCAGACUCCUACGGGAGGCAGCAGUGGGGAAUAUUGGGCAAUGGAGGAAACUCUGACCCAGCGACGCCGCGUGAGGGAUGAAGGCCUUCGGGUUGUAAACCUCUUUCAGUAGGGAAGAAGCGAAAGUGACGGUACCUACAGAAGAAGCACCGGCUAACUAUGUGCCAGCAGCCGCGGUAAUACAUAGGGUGCAAGCGUUGUCCGGAAUUAUUGGGCGUAAAGAGCUCGUAGGUGGUUCGAUACGUCGGAUGUGAAAAUCAGGGGCUCAACCCCUGACCUGCAUCCGAUACGGUCGAGCUAGAGUUUGGUAGGGGAGACUGGAAUUCCUGGUGUAGCGGUGGAAUGCGCAGAUAUCAGGAGGAACACCGAUGGCGAAGGCAGGUCUCUGGGCCAAUACUGACACUGAGGAGCGAAAGCGUGGGGAGCGAACAGGAUUAGAUACCCUGGUAGUCCACGCCGUAAACGGUGGGCGCUAGUUGUGCGAACCUUCCACGGUUUGUGCGACGCAGCUAACGCAUUAAGCGCCCCGCCUGGGGAGUACGAUCGCAAGAUUA
rnacentral:rRNA from 1 species